CAUCAGUACAGCAGAUAGACACAUGACAUUUAGGAGGAAGAACACAUCUGAGUUCUGGUAGAACCUGACACCAGAUCCGUUCUACGUCCAUCCAGGUGACACAGAUGAAUUUGACUGAUUC